rnacentral:rRNA from 1 species
AUUGAACGCUGGCGGCAUGCUUUACACAUGCAAGUCGAACGGUAACAGGCCUUCGGGUGCUGACGAGUGGCGAACGGGUGAGUAAUGCAUCGGAACGUACCCAGAGGUGGGGGAUAACGCAGCGAAAGCUGUGCUAAUACCGCAUGUGAUCUGAGGAUGAAAGCGGGGGACCGAGCAGCAAUGUUUGGCCUCGCGCCUUUGGAGCGGCCGAUGUCGGAUUAGCUAGUUGGUGGGGUAAAGGCCUACCAAGGCGACGAUCCGUAGCUGGUCUGAGAGGACGACCAGCCACACUGGGACUGCGACACGGCCCAGACUCCUACGGGAGGCAGCAAUGGGGAAUUUUGGACAAUGGGCGCAAGCCUGAUCCAGCAAUGCCGCGUGCGGGAAGAAGGCCUUCGGGUUGUAAACCGCUUUUGGCAGGAACGAAACGGUGUCCGCUAAUACCGGGCGCUAAUGACGGUACCUGCAGAAUAAGCACCGGCUAACUACGUG